rnacentral:rRNA from 1 species
AACGAACGCUGGCGGCAGGCUUAACACAUGCAAGUCGAACGCCCCGCAAGGGGAGUGGCAGACGGGUGAGUAACGCGUGGGAAUCUACCCAGUUCUACGGAAUGACCCAGGGAAACUUGGACUAAUACCGUAUACGCCCUACGGGGGAAAGAUUUAUCGGAAUUGGAUGAGCCCGCGUUGGAUUAGCUAGUUGGUGGGGUAAUGGCCUACCAAGGCGACGAUCCAUAGCUGGUCUGAGAGGAUGAUCAGCCACACUGGGACUGAGACACGGCCCAGACUCCUACGGGAGGCAGCAGUGGGGAAGAUUGGACAAUGGGCGCAAGCCUGAUCCAGCCAUGCCGCGUGAGUGAUGAAGGCCUUAGGGUUGUAAAGCUCUUUCAGUGGGGACGAUAAUGACGGUACCCACAGAAGAAGCCCCGGCUAACUUCGUGCCAGCCGCCGCCGUAAUAC